rnacentral:rRNA from 1 species
UACAGAGGUCUCAAGCGUUGUUCGGAUUCAUUGGGCGUAAAGGGUGCGUAGGCGGCGCGGUAAGUCGGGUGUGAAAUCUCGGGGCUUAACUCCGAAACUGCAUUCGAUACUGCCGUGCUUGAGGACUGGAGAGGAGACUGGAAUUUACGGUGUAGCGGUGAAAUGCGUAGAUAUCAGGAAGAACACCCGUGGCUAAGGCGGCUCUCUAGUACGGUACUGACGCUGAGACGCGAAAGCGUGGGGAGCAAACAGG